rnacentral:rRNA from 1 species
AGUGAACGCUGGCGGCGUGCUUAACACAUGCAAGUCGAACGAGAACGGAAUAUAGCUUGCUAUAUUUGUCAGCUAAGUGGCGCACGGGUGAGUAAUGUAUAGAUAACCUGCCCUUAAGAAAGGAAUAACAGUUGGAAACGACUGCUAAUGCCCUAUAUGCCUUUAAUACAUAAGUAUGCAAGGGAAACGCUUUAGUGCUUAAGGAUGGGUCUGUAUGGUAUCAGCUUGUUGGUGAGGCAAUGGCUCACCAAGGCUAUGACGCCUAACUGGUUUGAGAGGAUGAUCAGUCACACUGGAACUGAGACACGGUCCAGACUCCUACGGGAGGCAGCAGUGGGGAAUAUUGCACAAUGGACGAAAGUCUGAUGCAGCAACGCCGCGUGGAGGAUGACACAUUUCGGUGCGUAAACUCCUCUUAUAUAGGAAGAUAAUGACGGUACUAUAUGAAUAAGCACCGGCUAACUCCGUGCCAGCCGCCGCGGUAA